GUUGCUGAGAUGAAUCGCAUUGGUCUUUUGGCUGUCUUGAAGAAACAGACAUUGUAAGCCUUAAAAUUGUUGAUGGGAAGCAAGAGGGAAAACUUUCAGAAAGUUUCUGAAAUUUGUAGGGCUUAAUGAAUCAUUGAAAAAAGCAAUGUAUUUGUGGGAAAAACAUUUGUUUUGCAGAGAAUCUGCUGUGAGGGUUGUAGAAGGCAGCUGCCUUGGUUGAAUACAACAUUCUUUUGUUUGCUUUAUCUAGGAAUUUCAUUUUCUUGGCUGCUUCGCAAUCCAGCAACUUCAAAAACCCAUCUGUGUUAUUGCUGGGCUGAUAACAGUGGGACAGGGUCCUGUCUGGGGACGAAGGCCACCCGGGAGAAAAGGGACAGGUUCAUGUGCUGGAAACCUGGUUCCCAGUGUGACCUUUUUGAUGGCGGAACCCUUAAGAGACUUGGUGACUGCAGCAGUCGUGUGCCCGGGGUGGACAUGCAGG
ensembl:lncRNA